CUGGGGCAGAUGAAGGCGUUUGGUUGUGCUGCUGCAGAUGUACCAUGGCGUUUCUUCUCUCUGCGCUGCUCCUCCUCUGGUCACCGCCAGCAAAAAAAGAUGUUGGUACUCUGUAUGGGAAACAGUCCAGAAUUCCACAGCCAAGCCUAUUUGAAUUCAGAGGGCAUAUGAUUUACAGAGGCAUCUUAAUCCCUCUGUAAGCAUCAAAGAAUGCAGGGGAAAAGAAAUCAAUGUCAGAAUCAUUACCUCAACCGUCAGAUGAUGAAAUAAACCCUGUUCCAAGACAAUUUAAAAAACCAAUAGACCCAAGGAUUUUUCUAAGAAGAUAUUGUUGUUUUUUGAACUAUGAAGUUAGUUUGUCUUGCUGUCUAAUUCACCAUACUAAUUGCAUUUGACCUUGAAAUAUGGGUCCUGGUAAUUAUUACGGUAUAUUUCUCAAGGACUAUGAGAGACAUCAGAGCUGUUGCGAUGUCAGCCAGUAUAUACUAAUUGUCAGUGGUACCUUUUGGGAUACUGGUGAUUUAAACAAAUAAUGAUAAUGAUAGUCAAUCCAAAUCAGUGAGAGCUCCAUCAGUAGAGCAUGAGACUCUUAAUCUCAGGAUCUGAGGUUUGAGCCCCACG